GAAGAGGGUCUUCUUCUAGGGUUGUUUGUUUUCAUAUCUUUCCUCCCUCCAUCUUGAGUUUCCUGAGAGCAUCUCAGAUCUGGAACUCCUCCUUUUACUUUUCAUCUUUGGAAGAGUCCAAAUCAAGAAGAAGGAGGCACCUGAUCAACCAUCAAAGAAGGAUCAGCGCAGUACUAGCAUACUGUGCUGAUUUCCUGAAGCAGGACUUCUGAUCGAGAUUCGUGGGCUCGUGUGGACGACUCCUAGAGGCCGGACGUGUGUGCGGCUUGCAACAUCAUCCUCAAGCCUGGAUCAGUGAGGUUAGAACGUCUAACUUGCAAGGUAAUAGAUCUGAUCUAUUGUUUAAUACAUACAUUAGAUGUAGUAUAGAAAUAUGUUGAUAUGAUCAACAUGUAGUUCAUGCUAUAUUUAUAUAUUUUAAUUUUUGAUUUAAUGUUAUGUAAUAAUCAUGUAAUAGGAUCUUAGAUCUAGGGAUUCUCUGAUUGUAGAAAAUAAUUUUGAUUUAUUUUAG
rnacentral:lncRNA from 1 species